AUACAUUGAACAUUAGUGGGACAUGAAGAACUUAUAGGAUUAGUUUGCCAACACGAAAUCAAAGGAAAAGUUGGCCAAGAAAACCCAAAAGAUCAGUUGGCCAAAAGGAACCCAAAGGAUAAGUUGGACAACAGUAAAACCAAAGGAUUAGUAGCAACUAGCCAACAUGUGCCCAAAGGAUUAGUUCGCCAAUAGAAAACCCAAAGGACUAGUUCGUCAAAAGGAACCUGAAUGGAAAUUGGGCCAACGGGCGGGAAUUCAAUGGAAUAGUAAACUAACGACUAACUAAGACAAACAAGAACCCAAAGAAUGAAUUGGCAAACAUGAACCUAAAGGAUUAGUUGGGCAACAGUGAAAUCCCACAGGAUACCCAAAAGAUGAAUUGACCAAGAAAAAUCCCAAAGGAUAAGUUGGCAAAAAAGAACAAAAAGAAUAUCAUUAGAAACAGAUACUUUACUUCAGGUCUGAUUGGGAUUUUACUUCAGGUCUGAUUGGGAUUUAAAUGUGUUAAAAGGGUGUCCCUACAAGAUUUGAUUUGAUUUGUCCAAGGAGAACCAGAAAGAUCAGUUGGCCAACAGAAAUCAAGCCCAAGCAUUCUGUUGGCCAUUAGGAAGCCCAAAGGAUAAAUUGGCCAAGAAGAACAAAAAGAAUAUCAUCAGAAACGCGAAGUUUUAAGAAUUAAAACCAGUGCAGUGGCUUGACUGUUUGUGAACAACAUUUUUUAAAAUUUUGGAUGAUUUUUUAAAAUUUAUAUUUUCAGAUUGUAUGAAUGGCAAAAAUGCCGGCGGUGCGUGGCGAUGGAAUGAGGGGGUUGGCAGUUUUUAUCUCCGACAUCAGGAACUGCAAGAGCAAGGAGGCCGAGGUUAAGAGGAUUAACAAGGAGCUCGCCAAUAUCAGAAACAAGUUUAAGGGCGACAAAACACUGGAUGGAUAUCAGAAGAAGAAGUAUGUGUGCAAACUACUCUUCAUUUUUCUUCUUGGGCACGAUAUCGACUUUGGUCAGAUGGAGGCGGUUAACCUUCUCUCAUCUAAUAAAUAUACAGAAAAACAAAUUGGUUAUCUGUUCAUCUCUGUACUUAUCAGUGGAAAUAGCGAACUUAUUCAACUGAUCGUUCAGUCGAUCAAAAACGAUCUGGCUGCAAGAAACCCCGUUCAUGUCUCCCUGGCCCUGCAAUGUAUCGCAAACAUUGGUUCCAAGGAUAUGGCCGAAGCAUUCGGAUCAGAGAUUCCAAAACUUCUGGUUUCAGGAGAUACACUUGACGUAGUGAAACAAUCUGCUGCGCUCUGUCUACUUCGCCUUUUCAGAACAGAUCCUUCGGUUAUACCAAGCGGAGAGUGGACUACACGUAUCGUUCAUCUUCUGAAUGAUCACCAUAUGGGAGUUGUGACCGCGGCAGCCUCUCUCAUCGAUGCGCUCGUAAAGAAGAACCCUGAGGAGUACAAGGGUUGCAUCUCCUUGGCAGUAUCAAGGCUAUCAAGGAUUGUGACCUCAAGCUACACAGAUUUCCAGGAUUAUACAUAUUAUUUCGUUCCUGCUCCCUGGCUCAGUGUCAAGAUUUUACGACUGCUUCAAAACUAUCCACCCCCUGAGGAUCCUGGGGUUAGAGCUAGACUCACAGAAUGCCUUGAAACUAUUCUCAACAAGGCGGGAGAACCAUUGAAAUCUAAGAAGGUUCAACAUUCAAAUGCUAAGAACGCAGUACUCUUCGAAGCAAUUAGUUUGAUUAUCCACAAUGAUUCUGAACCGAACCUGUUAGUACGAGCUUGUAAUCAGUUGGGGCAAUUCCUCUCUCAUAGGGAGACUAAUCUACGGUAUCUGGCUCUGGAGUCUAUGUGUAUCCUGGCAACCUCUGAGUUCUCCCAUGAAGCGGUGAAGAAGCAUCAGGAGACCGUCAUCUCUGCUCUCAAGACAGAACGGGAUGUCAGUGUACGACAGAGAGCUGUAGAUCUCCUCUACGCAAUGUGUGAUAGAACGAACUCCGAGGAGAUUGUUCUGGAGAUGCUGGGAUAUCUAGAGACGGCGGACUAUUCUAUCAGAGAAGAGAUGGUUCUAAAAGUAGCAGUAUUGGCGGAGAAGUAUGCUACAGACUAUAAAUGGUAUGUGGAUGUAAUCCUGAACUUAAUUCGGUUGGCAGGGGACUAUGUCAGUGAGGAGGUUUGGUAUAGAGUUAUUCAGAUUGUUAUAAAUAGAGAUGAUGUUCAAGGAUACGCGGCAAAAACUGUGUUCGAGGCUCUACAAUCCCCAGCUUGUCAUGAGAAUAUGGUGAAGGUUGGAGGAUAUAUCCUGGGUGAGUUUGGAAACCUAAUUGCUGGCGAUGAAAGAUCUUCUCCCAGGGUUCAACUUCUUCUUCUACACAGCAAGUUCCAUCUGUGUUCCUCUAUGACACGAGCUCUUCUCCUUUCAACCUACGUCAAGUUUAUCAAUCUCUUCCCAGAGAUCAAGCAACAAAUUCAGGACAUAUUUGUAGCUGAUUCCAACCUAAGAUCCUCUGAUGUAGAACUACAGCAGAGAGCUAGCGAGUAUCUAGCACUAUCUAAGAUCACAAGUUUGGAUGUACUUGCAACAGUUCUGGAGGAGAUGCCUCCCUUCCCUGAGAAGGAAUCCAACGGGAUCCUGAAUCUUCUCAAGAAAAAGCGACCUGGACGGGUCCCUAAUAAUCCAGGAUUAUUAUCGGGUGAGGAAUCUACUAAAGAGAAAUCAACCAAUGGAAUCUCAGUACAGAGGGAUGAAAGUGGAUCAGCUGAUUUGCUCGGAUUGGGUAUGGAGAAUGGAACAAGCAACGGUGUGGAAAGCGAGGAAGUGACCAAUAAUAUUCUCAAGUUCUAUUGUAAGAGUAACGGUGUUCUUUACGAGAAUAGUCUUAUUCAGAACUUCCAGCCUCAUGUUUCCUGUUCUCCUGUUCUAGCAACACAGAUACUUCUACAGGUGAAGGAUGUUGACAGUACAGUUGAGGCAGGUGCACAGUUCCAACAGAUGUUAAAUAUUGAAUGCAUAACAGAUUUUACGGAACAACCUGAUCUAAAUCUUAGCUUCACUUAUAACGGAGAGAGACAAACAGUUAACUGUAAGCUACCGAUGUCGGUGAAUAAGUUCAUUGAACCAACAGAAAUGAAUGCAGAAGCUUUCUUCACACGCUGGAAGAAUCUGAGUAUACCCUCACAGGAGGCACAGAAGAUAUUCAAAGCAAAGUUUCCUAUGGAGGCAACAGACGCAGCUAAAACUAAACUUAUCGGAUACGGAUUCCAGCUACUGGAGAAUAUUGAUCCUAACCAUGAGAACUAUGUGUGCGCUGGUAUUAUCCAUACCCGGACUCUACAGAUAGGAGUUCUCCUUAGACUAGAACCUAACAUGCAGGCUCAGAUGUACCGGUUGACUGUGAGGUCUAGCAAGGAUACAGUUUCCCAGCAUAUUGUCAAUAUUCUUGGAGAUGUGUUCUGAACACAUAGAGCUGAACACAUUUAUCCCUUGAACACAUGGAGCUGAACAUAUUUUCUCUUGAACACAUGGAGCAAAACACAUCAAUCUUUUGAACACAUGAAACUGAACAGUGAACACAUUUAUGUAUAAUCCUGGGCUCAACUUAAGUUCUUUCUCUUUAUUCCGUUAGAGGUAUAUCUUCAAUACCUUUAAAUUUUUUUCUGCCAAGACUUGUCCUCUCCCUUUCCAUGUUUUUUUUCAAUUCAUUUACCUUUACGUUUUCCUUUUCCUCAUAUUUAAACUCAUCCUUGUUUCCGGAUUAUUAUUCAUUAGUUCAUACAUGUGAUAAAAACAGUGAAAUCAACAGUUUUUUUUGCAUGUACAGUACAUUCUUGAACUGCAUGUACCAGCAAUCAUGAAAAGACCAGUGCACCAAUAUAUUGUAUGACUUCCGUUGUGGGACGCUCUGUAUAUCUUCUUCCCAAACAAAAUGUUACUAAGCAAUUUUUUCCUCAGAUACAGGGUGAACCUACUUUAGGGGAUCUUUAAGUCUCGUUUGGAUCGUAAUCUCAAAUAAUCCUUGCCUCCCCCCCCCCCCCAUCUAAAGUAAAGGGUUUAGCCAGAACUUAUUUUAGAGAAUAAUUCAAAUGUCGUCCUUGUGCGGCCCAAGUUUCCCCUCAUUCCCUGGCGACUAUGUAAUGCAUUGUUUUAUUCGUAUUAUAUUAGAUAUUUAUAAGUAGUGAGAUCAUUCCAAUUGUAUUAUCAUUAUCAACUCUGUUUUAUUCCAAGGAUUUUAGAAUUAAAGCAUUUAAAUAAAAUGGAUGAAAAUA